AGGGGACCAUAUGUGGUGUCAAAGAUUGAACUUGGUUUGGCGUAUGCAAGACGUUACUGGCGCCUGCUCGAGCAAAUCAAAGAUCAACAAGAGGACAAGUGAUACAAGUGACAAGACUGCUGAAAGAUGGCACUGAAGACAACAUGGACAUAAAAGUGUGGGAUGCAGAAGAGGUCGGCAGAUGGCAGCACUGGAUGAUGAGGAAGAAAAUCCUAAUGGUCUGAGGCAAACUGUUUCUCUGGGAUCUCUGGCAAAGAAUCCCCAAAGAAGUGCACAUCCACAAUAUAACUGCCUGUAGUUUUUUUUAUAUAUAUUUGCAUACUAAUAACUUUUCAAAUGCUGGGUAUGGCUCUUUCAUAGUUUUUAUGUGUUUGGUUAUUAUACUAAACUUUUCAUUUCUUUUUAUAUUUCUUUGUCACCUUAACAAAGCUUAUUCCUUUCUAAGAGAGCUACAGUUUAAUUUGGGGGUAGAUUUAUGGUACUCUAGAAAGUGUUAAUGGUCAAUUUAAAGAGAAAAAAUUAUACAUUUUAAUUUUAUAGAUGAUGUCCUCAAAAUUUUAUAAAGUCAUUGGUAAUUGAUAGUUAGUAUUAUUGCCCUGUGCCAAACAAUUUUAACAAUCUUACAAGUUCUUCAUGAAAAAUUGGAAGUUUAUUAUGAUGAUAACAGGAUUUUUGUGGAAAGGAAAACUAUGAGUUAUUUGAUAAAAUGUUCAAUAAAAUAGGGAAAUGACCAGAAGGUCAAAGGAUGGUAAAGAAGACCAGUACAAAAUAUAAUAUUUUAAAUGAAGGGAGAAAAGAAAAAAGAACAGACCUGGGGCGAUAGUACAGCAGGUAGGGUGUUUGCCUUGCACGCAGUCGACCCAGGUUCAAUUCCCAGCAUCCCAUCUGGUCCCCCAAGAAUCACCAGGAGUAACUCUUGAGUGCAGAGGCAGGAGUAACUCACUGUGCAUCGCUGGGUGUGAGCCAAAAAGAAAAAAAAAACAUAUCUUUGAGCCAAUAGAUUGCUAAAUUACACCCUGCACUUUGAGACGAUAGAAACUAGAACCAGGACAUAAGACUCAACAGGUAAUACUUGACAGGUCUUUGGAGAAGCUAUGCCCCAACUUGGUUUAGUGAGGGAAAUUUAAGAAAACAUUAAAUAAAAAGAUUGUAGAUACAUAUACUAACUUCAGAAGUAGGAUUAUAGAGAGCCCUAUCAGAUGUAUUGAGAAGAAAAACAAUAUGGGACAAAGUCUAAAGGAAGAAAUCAAAAAAGGUAAAAAAUGAACAGCAAGAUUGAUUAAAAAAAAUAUAGUUUCCUAUUGGGUUUUACAUUGGCCCAGUAGCCGAGUAUAAACUUGGAAAGGACACAG